rnacentral:rRNA from 1 species
CAGCCGCCACGGGAAUACGAAGGGUGCAAGCGUUACUCGGAAUUACUGGGCGUAAAGCGUGCGUAGGUGGUGGUUUAAGUCCGUUGUGAAAGCCCUGGGCUCAACCUGGGAAUUGCAGUGGAUACUGGGUCACUAGAGUGUGGUAGAGGAUAGUGGAAUUUCCGGUGUAGCAGUGAAAUGCGUAGAGAUCGGAAGGAACAUCUGUGGCGAAGGCGACUAUCUGGGCCAACACUGACACUGAGGCACGAAAGCGUGGGGAGCAAACAGGAUUAGAUACCCCCGAGUCCCUGUCUCUUAUACA